rnacentral:rRNA from 1 species
CUUCCGAUGGCGACCGGCGCACGGGUGAGUAACACGUAUCCAACCUGCCGAUAACUCGGGGAUAGCCUUUCGAAAGAAAGAUUAAUAUCCGAUAGGAUACCAAGGUCGCAUGAUCUUGAUAUUAAAGAAUUUCGGUUAUCGAUGGGGAUGCGUUCCAUUAGUUAGUUGGCGGGGUAACGGCCCACCAAGACGACGAUGGAUAGGGGUUCUGAGAGGAAGGUCCCCCACAUUGGAACUGAGACACGGUCCAAACUCCUACGGGAGGCAGCAG